rnacentral:sRNA from 1 species
GUUGGGUGGGGUGGUGCAUUCCUAUAAUCCCAGUGACUCAGGAGGCAGAGGCAGGAGGAUCACAGGUUUGAGGCUAGCCUCAGCAACUUAGUGAGGCCCUAAGCAACCUAGUGAGACCCUGUCUCAA